rnacentral:misc_RNA from 1 species
UGUGGGAGCGAGCCUGCUCGCGAUAGCGGUAUGUCGGUCAACUUUACAUUGACUGCUCCACCGCUAUCGCGAGCAGGCUCGCUCCCACA